rnacentral:rRNA from 1 species
CCGGUUGAUCCUGCCGGAGGUUACCGCUAUCGAGGUUCGACUAAGCCAUGCGAGUCGAAUGUAGCAAUACAUGGCGAACUGCUCAGUAACACGUGGACAACCUGCCCUUAGGUUGGGUAUAAACCCGGGAAACUGGGUAUAAUACCCGAUAGGUCUCGAUUGCUGGAAUGCAUCGAGAUUUAAAGCUCCGGCGCCUAAGGAUGGGUCUGCGGCCUAUCAGGUAGUAGUGGGUGUAGCGUACCUACUAGCCUACGACGGGUACGGGUUGUGAGAGCAAGAGCCCGGAGAUGGAUUCUGAGGCACGAAUCCAGGCCCUACGGGGCGCAGCAGGCGCGAAAACUUUACAAUGCUGGCAACAGCGAUAAGGGAACCUCGAGUGCCAGGUUACAAAUCUGGCUGUCGAGAUGCCUAAAAAGCAUUUCAUAGCAAGGGCCGGGCAAGACCGGUGCCAGCCGCCGCGGUAACACCGGCGGCUCGAGUGGUAACCGUUAUUAUUGGGUCUAAAGGGUCUGUAGCCGGCCGGAUAAGUCUCUUGAGAAAUCUGGCAGCUUAACUGUCAGGCUUUCAGGAGAUACUGUCUGGCUCGAGGCCGGGAGAGGUGAGAGGUACUUCAGGGGUAGGGGUGAAAUCUUGUAAUCCUUGAAGGACCACCAGUGGCGAAGGCGUCUCACCAGAACGGACCUGACGGCAAGGGACGAAGGCUAGGGGCACGAACCGGAUUAGAUACCCGGGUAGUCCUAGCCGUAAACGAUACUCGCUAGGUGUCGGCCACGGUGCGACCGUUGUCGGUGCCGUAGGGAAGCCGUGAAGCGAGCCACCUGGGAAGUACGGCCGCAAGGCUGAAACUUAAAGGAAUUGGCGGGAAUCU